UGUUCAUGAUAUAAACAUGUUCCCUUGGUGCAGAUCUUGACGGUAGUAGAAAAUAUUCAAAUGAGAACUUUGAAGAGUGAAGUGGAGAAAUGUUCCAUGUGAACAUCACUUGGACAUUACUGGUUAGUCAAUCCUAAGAGAUGGGGAAUCCUUGUAUCAAAGGUGCACUCUGCAUGAACAUCAAAAGAGAAUUGGGUUAAUAUUCCCGAACCGGGACAUGGUGGUGGACGAUAAUGUUAGGAAAUCUGGAGAUGUCAUCGGGGGCCUGGGAAGAAUUAUCUUUUAUUUUUAAUGCAUUUGACUCAUAACCACUACAAUUUUUAUAAUCCCAAACUCCUAAACCCUUGAAAAUUUAACCCUAAUAUUUAACCCUUAUAACCCCAAAUAUGUACAUUAACUAUUACAUCUAUCCAUUAUUAGUACUAUUC
rfam:Picea glauca, whole genome shotgun sequence.